GUGUUGCAUUUCCAAGUAGACAUGUUUGUUCUGCUUUGCAUUGGUGAAAUGUGAAGAACCGUUUGUCUCUUGAAAUUUCUAAAGAAUAAAAAUCGUUUUCACUUUACUGAGAAAUUCUGAGAAAUUCUAUUCAGAUGAGAACAGCUGCUAUUAACAAAGCAUCACAAGUUUGGAGUGGGUCCAGAGGAGGGUCACAAAGAUGAUCAGAGGGUUGGAGCAUCUCUACUGUGAAGAAAGGUUGAGGAAAUUGGACUUUUUGAGCCUGGAGAAGCCUCCAGGGAGACCCAUUGUGGCCUUUGGAACUGGAUAAUCUUCAUGGUACCUUCGAAGGUGUGUAAGGUGUUGCCUCAUUAAUACUUCCAAAACACCAAGGAUAAGUCAAUGGAAAAUCAAUAUGCAGGAAUGUAUGAGGAUUUUUUGGACAAGUGCUACUUCUUUGGAAAAUCAGUUGGAGUCAGCUAAUAUGCUGAAACCCUUUUCUAGAAAAACCAACCAGCAGGAAAAUGAAGCGAUUGAAAAAUAUGGAGAAGAAGAAAUGAAUGAUCUACACAUCAAGCCUGAAGUACAUAAAAGAAUGGGCAAAGAUACACAUUUCUACUUGCAAUUCAAAAUGUAUUGUAUGGAUAAAUAACCUCCAGCUUCCAAGCAAGAGUUCACCAGAUUUCAAAGUCAGUAUUGCAAGGACACCAGUCAGGAAUAAUGAGCUAUGGCCAAAAACCAUAUGUGAUGACCAGAUGCUACAACUGAUAUUGGCAGCUGUCAUAACUGGAGGAGCCCACACACAGAAAAAGUGUGACAUGAAGCUGCUUUUUCUCUAUUUGUAGUCCGAAUGUUCUUUUGGGACACUUCAGCAAUGGGGACAAAGGACAAUUUUUGAGAAAAUGAAGGAAUUUCAAAGGAAACAGACAGCUUCUGUGGGACUGAUGCAAUCAAACUGAUAGAAGUUUUUUGUGACCUGUAGCUGGAAAAUCUGUGAAGAUCAUAACAGAAUAUGUAGCUAUUUACUAAAUCAAAGAAAAGCAGAGAAAAACACUUGAAAAGUACUUGCAGCUAUUUACUAAGAAGAAAAAUGUAUGCUCAUUAUUCUAAAGAAUAUUUUAACAAUGGGUCUGGAAAAAAAAAAAUAGAAAAUAUUUCAGUAUUUCCUUUUGUGCUAUUCAGACCAAAGCUUAAUUAUUGUGACAGAUGACAGAAGUUAUGGGAUCUAAACCCAUUUAAAUGAGGAUGCCAAGUACAUCCACAGAAGCAGUUUUUAAUCCAGCAUACCAUUUUCUGAAUUUUGGUACAUUCAAUUUGUCUCAUACAACAUGUCCAAGAGUGCCAUCUAAUGAUGUUCAGUAAAAUUCUUAAUUCAGUCUUACAUCUUUGGCAAAAUACAGAAAUGUGAUGCCAAUAGGAACGCCGCAGCAGCAUAGCAAAAUUGUUAGAGGAUCAUUUUCCUUAAUUUAAUGUUAUUUAAUUCCCUGCCGGUUUGAAUAUCUGGCAAUAAGUAAAAAAAUAUUUCUUUUUAAAUGAUAUAGCUGUGAUGAAAAAUCUAUUAACAGAAAAUGCUACAAAGUUUCAUUAUGUAAUACGACAAAAAUUGAUCUAUAAAUGUUUAUUUAUGGAUUGUAUGUUCACUCAGAUUUAUCAGCAGGCUGCACAUUCAUGCCACUUGCAAAUUCUUAUCUGAACUUGUUUCUAAAUGCCUUGCAAAUAAAAGCUCCUAUAAAUACUGGAGUUUGAUCCAAAGCCAUUAAAAUCAGUAAGAUCAACAAUUUGAUUGAUUUCAAAAGGCUACAUAUCAUGUACUUGAAUAUAUCAGUUAUCUUGAUUUUUUGCCAUGCUGUAUGUAAUCAUUUAUUAUUAAAAAUAACAUUUAUUUAAUCUUUCUAAGACUGUCUGAAUAUUAUUGCAUAAAACAAGGGAAGAAAUGCUUUUGCAAGAGUAAAUUAUAACUUCCUUCCCUAAAAGAUUACUUAAAGAUUUAUCAAAAUAGUAGGUGAUACAAGAGGAAAUAAAAUGUUUUGGGUAUUUUUUGUUUUUGGUUUUUUUUUGAAUCUGUUCUCCACAUUGCUGCUUGUAUACCGUAUGCAUUGAAUUGAACUGGAAUUGAACUGGAGACUGGUGAGGGCAAGGAAGAAUUAUUCUCACUUUUAAACACUGCAUUUUCUGCUUUUAUUUAAACCUUCAUUGUGCAUCAACAAGCAAAAAUUAUAAGCAAAUUAUUAUGAUGCUACUGAUAGCAUUAAAUACUCAGGAAUCUUGACUGAUUUAACAUUGAACUCCACACUUUGCACUAUCAUUAUGAAAGACUACUUUGUAAAUAGAGUGCAUAUUUUCAUGCAUGGGAGCAUAUAUUCUUUUAAGUUCUAUGAAGUCCUCAAACUACACCAGCAAUGCUGGACUCCAUUGGCUUGGCUUUUUGGAAGUAGUUCAUCCCGUAUGCUAUCACAAUAUGGAGAAAUGAUUCACUUCACAAUAUUAACAUUAAGAUGAUUGUUACCUGGCAUUUCAAACACCAGGAUGAGUGAGUGACUUAACAUUUCUCAUAGAUCCAGCUCUUGAUGUAAUCAUUUCUGUACCAGAAAUUUCUGUACCAGAAAUGAUUCAUGUAAGAAUCAUGUUUCAUGUCAGACCUCAUGUAAGGGCAGAGUGUCAUGGCUAUAACAACAGAAAACUAACAAAAAACAAACAAACAAACAAACAACAACAACAACAAAAGAGACUGAAAAAUGCAGUAUAGAUUUCAUUUAAGGUAUCCACAACUUUUCAGAGACUACUUGUGGUUUCUAAGGUUUAAAGGCCAUAGUAAGCAAAACCAUGAGUAGUGCAUGUGAAGGUGUAUCCACGAAAAAUAUAUUUUAUCAGUACUUGACAAAAUUCUGCUGUGCUUUUCAUUCAUGCUCCUAAAGUUUGUGACAGAAAUCCAAUAUUUAAAGUGUGCUGGUUGAAAUAAAAAGGUUGUGAGAAUGAAAAUUUAAUGUAUAUUCACUGAAAUAUGUAACAAUAAUUAUCAAGUGUAAACUAUAAACAACUACUGUCAGGUAUAAACUAUAAAUGUUUCACAUUUUUGUCAUUCAAAUUAGCUGUAAGUGGGGUGAAAGAAGACUCCAGCAAUGUAAGAUUCAGUUUAAUGAUCUUUGAAAUAAUAUGUUUCACAGAUAUAGUGAUGAAUACACCCAAAAAUAUGACACUCGAUAUUCCUUAUUUGUUGGGGAAUAACAGCAUCAGUUUUAGUUGUUUAAAGCGGAUUUAUGAUAUUAUUGGUCCAAAUCCAUGAGUGCACUUCUAUCAUCAAGACAAAAAAUCCUUAUGGGCAGUAACGAACUUCAUCCUCAUAUUCUUUUCCCUCCUGCUGGAAGGAUUUUGCUCUUUGCAUCUUUGAGAUCACUUCAGUAACUUUCUCCUUGCUCAUUCUUUCAAAUAUAGCCACAAGGCAUAUUGAGAAUCAAAAUUGCUUCAAUACUUGACAGUACUGGUUUCUUAAAUCCUUCCUUAUUCCUGUACUGUAGGAUGAAAGUCAGGAUUUGCAAGUGAAAGAGUUGGAGUUUUUCAUUCGAGAUUCAUUAACUUAAUUGGUGAAACUGUUUUGAGAUUUGUAAGCAUGCUGUGGGACUUAGAAAUACUUUGUGAGAUUUGCAAAAUACAUAAACCUUCCAACUUCAAUGACAUAUGUCUGAAAUUGGCCGAAUAUCAUACAAAAAGCUUAAAACAGUUAGUUUUAGAAAUUCCUCUUCAGUGUUUCAUAGUUCACAACUUACAUAUUCAUACAGAGAUUUAGCUCUUGACAAGACAGGUUCUGCUGUUGUUUUUCACCUGAAAUGAUGACUGAUGGCAAAGGAUCAGAUGGUUGAGUAUCAUGUUUUGGACUGUGGGAGAACAGCUAGGAAGAGAGUGCUUGGCAUUGCUGGAAGACGUAGGGUCAGACCCUGUGCAAAGACCAUUACGAGAGAUUUUUCUCCAGGUCAUAUC